rnacentral:rRNA from 1 species
AACUAGCAGUUCGAGUGGUAGCCACGAUUAUUGGGCUUAAAGCGUCCGUAGCCGGUCUUGUGAGUUCUCUGUGAAAUCCUUGAGCCUAACUUAAGGGCCUGCAGAGAAUACUACUUGACUUGGAGUUGGGAGAAGUUGAGGGAACUACUAGGGUAGCGGUGAAAUGUUAUAAUCCUAGUAGGACCGCCAAUAGCGAAGGCACUCAACUAGAACAAGCUCGACGGUGAGGGACGAAAGCUAGGGGAGCAAACCGGAUUAGAUACCCCCGUA